GAGCACAUGUUAGAGGAGCAGCUUGGAAACAACACAAGCCGACUCUAGUCUGCGGUAUCCGUGAGCCAAAGUGGGCAAGUGGACAGGCCCUCGAAACGAAAAUAAGAAUCCAAAUCAGAUGUAACAAGAAACCAAGCAUAUGUUGAACACUCUGAAAUCCCAUUGGCUUCAGUGAGAAAGAUCUAAUUGCCUCCCUAUUUUUCCCAUGGUAAGACUUUAUAGCGCUUACUCUGGAUCACAUUCUCAGUAUUUUUGGAAGUUC
rnacentral:lncRNA from 1 species